AUAACCUACUCACUACAUACUUACGUUGGUAUGCGAUACGUCGGUAUCCAGAUUCUUACGUGGCGGAAAAGGAUUGGAUCGUGUAAAUCACGUUAGCUGUUACGCUAGUGGGAUGAGUUAUAGAUGACGCAUCACAAGUUUCCGAUGCUCGACACAUGUCAGUAUUCCGACGGUGUGUACUUAGCGGCAGUAAAAGCAAAGAGAUCCUUUACUUUGAACGGGAAACGACACCUAUCUUUGCCGUUUUAGAGAGUAUUGAUUAUCUGAUUACUAAAGUCAGGCACAAGCUAUUAUUACACCAGUAUCUAAAUUUAGUGAUUUUAGCAAUUUAGUGUUUAUCCAUUUUGUACUCCACCAUUUUGUACUCCAUCGAACUGAGUUCAUUACUAUUGUCUUAACAAAAUAUGAUAAAUCUAACACUACUAAAAGCCCGAUAUACUGAGCAGGGAGCAUGUCCACGUAAGAUAGUUAAUUCAGGCCAAUCAGGAGAGUCCUUUUUGACACGUCAGCACACGUAAUGGGUUUCUAUCGGUUGGCGCAGAAUUGGGCUUUAGAUUUUGUGAGUUUUCGGCCCGAUGAAAAAGGAGUGUCUCUAACCUAAUUAAUACAGCAGCAGUCGAGAAACAAAGAAGGUCAUCUCUCCUCUUCUUGAUGGCCGAUGCCGUUUGCGCUUAUUCACACCAUUUGAAACGUAAGACUUCGUGAAAUACAUCUGAGGUGAAAGAGAAGUGAAAAGUUAGGUUAAAGAUUCGCGGAGCGGAGCGGCGAAGUAUCUGGUCACGAGGUUUCCUCGCCUCUGUUGACUCCUACAUGAACUUGCAGAUUGGAAACACUGAAGAAUACAUCAAAGGACAGUUGAUAGGGAACCUUCGAGAGAUUUUGAUCAGGUACAUGCAUCUGCAGAUUUACAAACUGAUAUAACAUUGUUGAUUAUUUCCGUAAACUUGUGGAAGGUCAACAAAUUGAGAGGCCAAUGGGGGUGUAAGUAUCAGCGAGGAAUCUUCUUAUCCAGAGAAGAAGCUUUAUUUAUUUAUGAUUAAGAAGGAAGAAAGACAACAGAAGAGUUAGGUCUUUGAGCUGAUGUACUGUUUCUCAAUUUACAGAUUGAUGGCUCGGGUUAUAUGAUUUAGAUAGCCUUGGGUUAUAUGAUUUAUUAAAAAAAAUAUUUGUUCUUUGAAUUUAUUUGGUUUGUAAUGUCUUCUCAUGAGCUGGUUUAAAAACCAACAUUAUGUUUGUCUUUUUGGUAUUUUUUACUCGAUUCAUUUUUUGUUAUAAAAUUGAUUGGGAUACAUAAAAGAUAACCCAUUUAUACAAUCAUUUUCAAUCAAAGAUGUUUACCAAUUAUAUUUUACUUACUUAUGUUGCAGUUUGAUCAAACAAUCUUUUUAACCUUUGCCCAAAAAAGCUAAAAUAAUUGAUUUCUUCGGUCAGCCUGCUAAAACAACUUUGGUACUCUAUCAGCCCAAAAUUAUAUAGUCGUAAAUUUAGUUAGCCAAAAGAAUAUAUUAUCGUUUGAUAUAGAAAAUGUAAUGAACCAUUUUCUUCAUUUUACACUGCCUUUAAAGACGGAUACUAGAGAAAUUGGAACUCAAUGAUUCUAAAAACAUAACUAAACUUUAAAUGAGUUGUAAAUUUUAACAAUUGUUUAUAUGGAAAAGUAAAUAAUAAGAUUUAAAUAUUUAAAGCAUAAACAAAGUUUAAUUAAAUUAAAUUUCACAUUGCUUAUCCUCCGUUAAUUCCAAUACUGAAAAUAUUAAAAAUAGUGAGUUUUAAUCAUUUCAAAUUUGUUGGGUAACACAAUGAGUAAAUAAAAAAGUAUUCUAAAUUGGCAUAUUAAUUAUAUUUUAAUAUUCAGUUCUGAUAUAAUAUAUAUCUAUUUAAAUCUAAAUUAUAGUUAUAUUUGCUUUCUCAUGCUCUUAUAUCUAAUUGUUAAAUAAACAGCAUAGAAACUCUCAUCUGAUAAAAAAAUAUAAAAUAUAUAUGCUGCUUUUUGUCUAAAGAGGAAGAAUAAGAGAUUAAUACUUAACUUUCCGCUCCAUAAAAUCCAGAAAUAUCCUUUAUGCUUCAUGGUUUAACAAGGUUUCUCUAUUAUGUUCGAUUUUGAUUGAUUUAAUUUAUAAUGCUCAAGGUUUAAAUUUAGAGAAGUAUUAUAACACUAUAAAAAUUUGCAACUCUGAAUCAAAUCAGCGAUAAUACUGAAUAUGCUCACAUAUCGUUUUUAGUUAUAUAACUAAAAUUUGAUGUAGACAACAUUGAUUGUUUAACAUAAUCACACUCACAACUAAAUGAAAAAAAAAUUUACACACAAAUUAUAUCAUUGAUAAAAACUAAUACAUCAUAUCCUGCUGUAGCGCGGACCGACCAUAUGUAAAAAAAACUCUCAACAUCAAAUUUCUUCCUUUAUAAAUUUUGAGAUCUCCCAUCAAAAUCACUUUAAUAGUGCAAGUGUUCAAGGCAUAAAGUUGUAAGCAAAAAAACCGGUGAAUAUACACACUUUUUAGAAUUUUGAUUUAAGAAGAUAUGCUAAAAAAGUUCAUAUGAACCCCAUUCAACAAGUUCUUAUAUUUAAUUGUAUCUCUAUUAGCCAGUUCAUUUAUGCUUCCAAAUAGUACUUAAAUUAUUUGCUACACAAGAAAUAUAUGCACAUUGCAUUACUAUAUAAAUUAUUUUUAUAUUUCAAUGUAACUUUAUAUUUAUUGGAUAUUGUGUGGCCAAUUAAAUUAGGUAAAUUAUUGUGAAAUUGAUUAAAUUUAUAUAUUAAAUAACAGCUUUCAAAAGUACUAACUUUUAAAUAUUACAAAUUUUAUUUAAAAUUGAUUACAUUUUGAAAGAGAUAGAGUAAUUUAUAAACUAACUCUAUAUAGAUAUGAGGGCAAAAUUGUAAAGUGGUCUCACCUUGAAUUUCCCUCAUUCUGUGCAUUCAUAAUUGGAAGGAGAUAAUCAACAUCUAAUAUUAUGUUACUCUUAGUAUAUUAGAAAUGGUCGAACCGUAAACCAAUUAAGGAUGAUGUAAAGAAGACAUAAAGAUGUAUUUCCAGUUAUCACAAAUAUAGAAUCAAUUGACAACAACUUAAUUAUGUCUACCGUAGGACAACAGAUAAGAGUUUUCAUACCUUCUAAUAUUAUAAUAUACACUAUAUUAGUGGCUAAAUCAGUUUUCUCUAGCACAAAUACUCACUUCAUUCUUGGAGUUUAAGUUUUUCUAUCUGAUGAUAUUAGUAGUUUGAUCCCGAAAAAAGAAACGGUGGAACUGUACAUUGUAAUGAGAGAAAGAAAACAAACAAAAAUCAACCGAAGACUUUUAAGGUAUAUGAAACAAAAAUUGGAAAUAACAAUUCUCUGCAUUUAAAGAAUAAGACAAUAAAAUUGUAAAAUUAUAAAAUAAAACAAAAAUAUACACAGAAAGAAAUAUUUAGUAAAAUUAAAUGAUAAUAUAAUUUCCAUAAUUGAUAGUGCUCAGUUACACUAAAAAGUCAAAAUUUACAACAUACACAGUUUUAUUUACAUCUUUAAACAUAUUAUCUAAUUAAAAUGAUUCUAAAAAAAAUGCCAGCAUGAAGAGUUAGAAAAUAUACGAUAAAAUAUAAUACAUAACGUUAAAAAUACAUUAUCACUGAUGACUAAAAAAUCAUGUUAGUAGUAAUAAAAAUGAAAUGACAACACAUUUAUUAAACCCAUAGAACGGCACGCAACAAGGUGUUAUUAAAUAUACAAACUACAAAUUAAAUAUAUUCAACGCAAACACACAUAAAAA